GAUUAUGGCUCAGGAUGAACGCUAGCGACAGGCCUAACACAUGCAAGUCGAGGGGCAGCACAAGGAGCAAUCUGAGGUGGCGACCGGCGCACGGGUGAGUAACACGUAUGCAACCUGGCUAGUAAAAGGGGGAAUAACCCGGAGAAAUCCGGACUAAUACCGCAUAAUAUUUAGAAUCCGCAUGGAUUUUAAGUUAAACAUUUAUGGCUUACAGAUGGGCAUGCGUAUGAUUAGCUGGUUGGAGAGGUAACGGCUCCCCAAGGCAACGAUCAUUAGGGGUUCUGAGAGGAAGGUCCCCCACACUGGUACUGAGACACGGACCAGACUCCUACGGGAGGCAGCAGUGAGGAAUAUUGGUCAAUGGACGCAAGUCUGAACCAGCCAAAGUCGCGUGAAGGAAGAAUGUCCUAUGGAUUGUAAACUUCUUUUGAAGGGGAAUAAAGUACGGUACGUGUACCGUUUUGUAUGUACCCUUCGAAUAAGGAUCGGCUAACUCCGUGCCAGCAGCCGC
rnacentral:rRNA from 1 species